UACAGAGGGUGCGAGCGUUGUCCGGAAUUACUGGGCGUAAAGCGCGCGCAGGCGGUCUUCCAAGUCAGUGGUGAAAGCCCGGAGCUCAACUCCGGAACUGCCAUUGAAACUGUUAGACUUGAGGAUGAGAGAGGUGAGUGGAAUUCCCAGUGUAGAGGUGAAAUUCGUAGAUAUUGGGAAGAACACCGGUGGCGAAGGCGGCUCACUGGCUCAUUACUGACGCUCAGGCGCGAUAGCGUGGGGAUCAAACAGG
rnacentral:rRNA from 1 species